AUGUGGAGAUGUGUCUCCGGUGGAACCCAUAGGAUUUGGUUGGUGUUUGUCUUCAGUGGAUCUGCUUACAUUCGGGCUUCAUUUGUCUACAUUCGUGUGCCUGCAUAUUGCUAUUCUGGUGCGCUGAUCCUAUGGGAUUCUAGCAUGAUAAUUUCUCGACUAUCUACUAAACAAGGUUUGCCCAGCUCCAGUGAUGAAGAGGUGAUGACGGCGGCGCGCCUUCGACUCGCUAUAGUGACUAUAGAUAUUGCUAGGUGGUAUAUGGAACUGGACAUUUUUUUUACUUCUGAUGUUCUCAGCAGGACAGUUGAUGGAUAG
rnacentral:rRNA from 1 species